rnacentral:lncRNA from 1 species
CAGUAGGUGCUGUGACCAUGCUUACAUAAUAUUUCUGUAGCCUUUAUUUCUUUUUUGUUCUGAUUGCAGGAUGAAAUUGGAAGAGGGACAGCAUCUGCACUACUUCCAUUUUCAGAACAAAGAAUUUGACUUUCAGACAUGAAGGAUCUGGAGGAGUUCAUAUUACACAUUUGUCUGUGUACAGUACACAUAUCAUGAAUUCAGUGAGAGAUAAAAGAAGCAAUACAGUUGGGAUGUUCAAGCUUUCAAAGCCUGCCUUCACAUUAAGCAAGAAAUGCCUCUUAAAACAUAUAUUAUGGGACCAGAUGAACAUGUCCUUCAGACUUGGAGAAUUAUUUAAAAUAUUCCAGUAGAUGAAGAUUUGGAUUUGGCUUGCUUGAUGCUGGACGAUUAAUGAAGGAAGCCCUAACUGGACAAAUGUUGGUCUCCUGAGACAAUGUGUUGUUGAUAACAGGUCUGAUUUGAGCAAGUCUAGUCAAAUUCAAUUUUAAUACUAUUUAAAGGCACACACAAGGCACUUAUCACUGAGUUUGGGCUGAGUUGUUUUUGAAGUCUCUUGUUCUACCAAAGUUUAUUCCCUUUAAGUAUUAAGAAAGAGUACCAAAACCACAUAUCAUUCUGCUGCAGAAAUGCAUAUUUUGCUUUAUAUUGUUAAAUUUUGCUCAGUGUUUGUCAUGUUCUUUCAUACUGACUCAGACUCAGGUAUGUAACUCAUCACUGUAUGACUGCUCCUGUGGAGAAAUUACUGCACUCUGAUUUGUGUGAACCUUAAAAAUUAAUGAGUUAAAGAAGAUAUAAGAAAGUAUGGCAAUCAGUUCUCAGUUUAGUGAGGGUAGUCUUUUUUAAAUAAUCCUUAGUUAAUCCUUAGACUAAAAGUUGUAGGGUUAACCCUUGUGUAGGAUUUUUUCAAUUAACUGUGACUAGGUCAUUAAUUUUCAUGAAGUAUGAAUCACUUUCCACUGCACUACCAAGUCAAGAUAAGUAUCAAACAUCAAAUCACUGUCUUUAGUGGAUCAUUGCUUGGAAUGUGAAAUUCAUCUUGCACCUCAGUCCCAGCUCUGCUUGAAGAAGAUUAAAGUUCUCCCAUCCCACUAGAAAACUGGACCUCCAGCAUGUUUCCCUUCUGCAUCAAGAUGAAGCAGUGAUAUCUAGAAGUUUUAAAAUAAAAGAGGUAAUUAUAGGAAAAGCUUUUUCUCU